GACUGGCGUGGUGGCACACACUUGUAGUCCCAGGCACUUGGGAGGCUGAGGAGGGGGGAUCACUUGAGACUGGGAUUGGAGGCCAGCCUGAGCAACAUGGCGAGACCCUGUCUCUC
rnacentral:sRNA from 1 species